UUUUGAGGGCAAGUUUGGUGCCCGCGCCCGCGGUAAUUCCAGCUCCAAUAGCGUAUAUUAAAGUUGUUGCAGUUAAAAAGCUCGUAGUUGAAUUUCGGGGUCAGUAGGUUGGUCGUGCCACCGGUACGUACUGGUCUCACUGAUUCCUCCUUCCUGAUGAGCUGUAAUGCCAUUAAUUUGGUGUUGCAGGGAAUCUGGACUGUUACUUUGAAAAAAUUAGAGUGAAAAAAACAGGCAC
rnacentral:rRNA from 1 species